CUCCUUUGACGUUAGCGGCGGACGGGUGAGUAACACGUGGGUAACCUACCUAUAAGACUGGGAUAACUUCGGGAAACCGGAGCUAAUACCGGAUAAUAUUUCGAACCGCAUGGUUCGAUAGUGAAAGGUGGUUUUGCUAUCACUUAUAGAUGGACCCGCGCCGUAUUAGCUAGUUGGUAAGGUAACGGCUUACCAAGGCGACGAUACGUAGCCGACCUGAGAGGGUGAUCGGCCACACUGGAACUGAGACACGGUCCAGACUCCUACGGGAGGCAGCAGUU
rnacentral:rRNA from 1 species